AAAAUGGCAGAUUUAAUGCAUAGAUUUUAAGCGUCUAAGAUGAAUUUACUUUCUUUU
rnacentral:tRNA from 1 species